GGUAACACGGAAAUGACUCAGAAGCCUACAAGAUGGUGGAGGAGUUUCCUGCUCCUUUUUCUCAUUCAUUGGCACCAUCUGUAAUAGGAAGUCCUCAAAUUCAAAGUAGGUUGAUUUCCAAGCAUUCCAAAAUAGGGUAGCAUAGAGUAUCAGGGACAUAGAUUGCUACAGGCAUGUGUGGAUCAGUGCAUGUAUAUUAUGUACACAUGUACAGGUAAGUGUGGGUUUGAAGAUGUGUCUAUGUAUGUGCACAUGUAUAGAUCUAUAUGUAUGUGUAUAUAUCACACAAAACAUAUACAUAUAUCAGAGAGUGCCUCUCCUGUGUCAUCACCUAAACAUGUUUUAUCUGCUUCUUAAAGGUCAUCUCAGAAAUUGCUAUCUCUGGAUUGCUAUUUCAUAUACAUGGUCUUACAUUGCAGUAUCCACUUUAAAAGAAUCCAUGAGGCCAAAACAGAAAAGCAGAAGAUGUAGAGAAUAUUUUCAAGGAUAUAUACUCACUAAAGUUAAAAAAAAAAAAUUCUACAGAUAGCACAAUAGGGCACAAGUGACUUUUCCUUUUCUUUGCUUUUCUGCAAUGGAAAUAGCAGUGUAUUCCAGAAAGUUGUGCAUUUUUCUGUGUUUCUAGUUAAUGUAAUAAAGGCAAUCACACCUUC